rnacentral:rRNA from 1 species
CCUCGGGAGGCAGCAGUAGGGAAUUUUCCGCAAUGGGCGAGAGCCUGACGGAGCAAUACCGCGUGAGGGAAGACUGCCUAUGGGUUGUAAACCUCUUUUUUCAGGGAGGAAUUUUGACGUGUACCUGAAGAAUAAGCAUCGGCUAACUCCGUGCCAGCAGCCGCGGUAAGACGGAGGAUGCAAGUGUUAUCCGGAAUCACUGGGCGUAAAGCGUCUGUAGGUGGUUAAACAAGUCAACUGUUAAAUCUUGAAGCUCAACUUCAAAAUCGCAGUCGAAACUGUUUGACUAGAGUAUAGUAGGGGUAAAGGGAAUUUCCAGUGGAGCGGUGAAAUGCGUAGAUAUUGGAAAGAACACCGAUGGCGAAGGCACUUUACUGGGCUAUUACUGACACUCAGAGACGAAAGCUAGGGUAGCAAAUGGGAUUAGAUACCCCAGUAGUCCUAGCCGUAAACAAUGGAUACUAGAUGUUGAACAGAUCGACCUGUGCAGUAUCAAAGCUAACGCGUUAAGUAUCCCGCCUGGGAAGUAUGCUCGCAAGAGUGAAACUCAAAGGAAUUGACGG